GUCCGGACAUGUCGUGAACAUUUGCUUUACGAAUUUUUCUGUUUGUCCAAAAGAAAAAUUACGUCAGCUAUGCAUUUGUUUCGUACCGAAUUUAUAGUAUAUAGAUAAUAGAAUUCUGAGCGUAUUGGUCUGACUGUGAUGUGUUUACGUAGUUUACCGUCUGUCGACAACUUUACUACUAUAGGGAUCUUACUCCUAUCAUCGAAUUCAGGGGUAUGGUAGUGGAUUUUGACUUGUCGGGGUUACACAUAAUUGUUUUGGUUUUCUUUCAAACGGAGAAAAAGCCGUCGGAAAAAAGA